UCAGUGCAGGCCUUAAUACGGUGAAACCGCGAAUGGCUCAUUAAAUCAGCUAUGGUUUAUUGGAUCGUACCCGUUAAAUGGAUAACUGUAAUAACUCUAGAGCUAAUACAUGCCUCGAUGCCCUGACCUGAGCCUGGUGNNNNAGCUAGGAGGGAGGAAUGGGUGCACUUAUUAGAUCAGAAGCCAACCACCGACCUCGCUCCUGUGCGCUCUGGCGGAGGAGUGGGGUGGGUUGCGACACUUCUGGUGACUCUGGAUAAUUGUUACAGAUCGCAGUCGGCCUUGAGUCGGCGACGGGUCCUUCAAAUGUCUGCCCUAUCAACUUUCGAUGGUAGGUGACCUGCCUACCAUGGUGAUAACGGGUAACGGGGAAUCAGGGUUCGAUUCCGGAGAGGGAGCCUGAGAAACGGCUACCACUUCCAAGGGAGGCAGCAGGCGCGCAAAUUACCCACUCCCAGCACGGGGAGGUGGU
rnacentral:rRNA from 1 species